GACGAACGCUGGCGGCGUGCUUUACACAUGCAAGUCGAACGGAAAGGCCCUGCUUUUGUGGGGUGCUCGAGUGGCGAACGGGUGAGUAACACGUGAGUAACCUGCCCUUGACUUUGGGAUAACUUCAGGAAACUGGGGCUAAUACCGGAUAGGAGCUCCUGCUGCAUGGUGGAGGUUGGAAAGUUUCGGCGGUUGGGGAUGGACUCGCGGCUUAUCAGCUUGUUGGUGGGGUAGUGGCUUACCAAGGCUUUGACGGGUAGCCGGCCUGAGAGGGUGACCGGCCACAUUGGGACUGAGAUACGGCCCAGACUCCUACGGGAGGCAGCAGUGGGGAAUAUUGCACAAUGGGCGGAAGCCUGAUGCAGCAACGCCGCGUGCGGGAUGACGGCCUUCGGGUUGUAAACCGCUUUCGCCUGUGACGAAGCGUGAGUGACGGUAAUGGGUAAAGAAGCACCGGCUAACUACGUG
rnacentral:rRNA from 1 species